UGCCCCAGCAGCUCAUUGGUAGAGCACCUGCAUUUGUGUGAGCAAGGCCGAGCGAUCACUGCUAGCGUUGUCGCAGGUUCGAAUCCUGUCCGAGGCUAAAUGCU
rnacentral:tRNA from 1 species